AAACUGAGUUUCAAAGGGUCCCUGAAGGCUGAGGGACUCAUCAGAAGAGUGUUGCCUACAGCCCCACUACCAAGAAGUGCCACAGCUAAGAUUGAAACUCCUUCCUAAAGAGGAAUGGCUCCCUGAAUGUUCUGGAAGCCUCCCUGCUUUUCCCUCUCCACCUAAGGCACCUACCACUCACUGCUCCCACCAAUAUAGCCAGGAACAUGGCAUCGUAUUGUAAAAUGGAGAACCAAUUUGUCAAAAUGGAGCAGCUAAUUUGUCCAAAUCCAUGAAUCUCACCCUACUCUACAAAACUCAUCAUGAUCUGGCCAUCUAAUCUCAUCUCCUGCCUUUCUCCACCUCUUCACUUCACUGCAGACACACUGGCCACACACAGAAUUGCCAUUACUGGGGAGAGUUGGAGGCCUCGUGAGGAAAAUUAUCAUCAUCAUCAUCAUCAUCAUCAUCAUUAUCCUUGCCGCUCCACAUUCAAACUAACCUCUAUUAUCUUUUUCUCUGGCAUAUUCAGGCUGCUCUUUCACCUUUUCGAACAACCAAGACUGCUCUGUGCUUUUGAAAGUGUCAUGGUCCAAAAAACUAGAUCCUUAGCUUGAUGCAUCCCUAGAAGGUUCUUGUGGCUGGCUACGUGGCUGCUUCCUGGGGCCCACAUCAAGCUGAGAUGCUGCUUGGAGUGCACAUAUGGGUAGCAGCACCUUUGAUGUCCUCUUUCACCCCUCUGCAUUGUCCUUUACAGACUGAU